rnacentral:rRNA from 1 species
AGGCUUUGAUCCUGGCUCAGGACGAACGCUGGCGGCGGGCUUAACACAUGCAAGUCGAAGGGGAUUUGGGGCUUCGGCCCUGAUGAGACUGGCGCACGGGUGAGUAACACGUAUGUAAUCUGCCUUCAGGUGGGGGAUAACUUCGGGAAACCGGAGCUAAUACCGCAUAAUGCAGCGGGGCCGCAUGGCCAUGGUUGUUAAAGAUUUAUUGCCUGGAGAUGAACAUGCGUCGCAUUAGCUAGUUGGCGGGGUAACGGCCCACCAAGGCGAUGAUGCGUAGCUGGUCUGAGAGGAUGAUCAGCCACACUGGCACUGAGACACGGGCCAGACUCCUACGGGAGGCAGCAGUGAGGAAUAUUGCGCAAUGGGGGAAACCCUGACGCAGCCACGCCGCGUGCAGGAAGAAGGUCCUAUGGAUCGUAAACUGCUUUUAUUCGGGACGAAUGGGAAGGUUUCGACCUUGAGUGACGGUACCGUAUUGAAUAAGCACCGGCGUA